rnacentral:lncRNA from 1 species
GUCCCGGCUGCGCGCGCCGCCGACUCACCGAGCGAAGCCUGCACCGUCUCGGCCGCGGAGAAGGCGAGCAGCGAGCCCUCUUUGGCCAGGAAGCCUUUGCCGUCCUCCGCGUCAGCCUGCAGCGCCUCCGCCUUGUCGAAGUUACCGCCGCCGGGCAGCGGCUGCGGCGCGAACUUGCGGGCCGCUGCCGCCUCCUGGUGCUGGGGCGACGCGGAGAAGCCGCCGGGGAGCGUGGCCAUGAGCGUAGAGGGAGGAUGCACGAUUUCUGUCCCAGUGGGAAGGGAUGGCCUUCCAGUGGACGUGACCUCCCCUGCAUGGGGUCGGAAGGAUGAGAUGGCAAAGGAGCGUCUGGUCACCUGCAAAUUGGACAUGCCUCAAACGCAUAGAAUGGAAUGGAAUCUUUGGUUUCCAAAUGCAGAGAAGGACUGGCUGAUCUCAGGAAGACGGAAGCAUCACAGAAAAACAAAAAAAAGUAACCUAAAUAUUACCUGUGACCUCCCUAUGCCUCAAGGCUGGUAAACUUUGCUCAAAGCCUAUAAUUCCAUGACUUGUGGAAGUGUGGAGCCCUCAGGGGGAUUUCUGUGCACUCCUAGGGGCAAAGGUGGGGCUUUCUCUCCUUGACCUGUGUCUUCAGUGUGCUUGGGUCUCUGUGUGCCAACCUGUGCAUAAGCACAGCUGUGCCUGAAGCUUCUCUGCUGAUGCCAAGUGUGCUGUGGUCUCUGAGGGCCCAGGGCGGGCCGUGGAGCUUACAGGGCCUCCUUCGCCUUGCCUUCUAUCUCGCCAUCUUUUCCAUUCCUUACUUUCUUUCUUCUCCCCUGUGCUUAAUUUUAUGUCUCAAUUUGGCUAGGACCCCAGUGCCCAGAGACUUGGCCCAACACUAGUCUAGAUGUUUCUAUGAAGGUGUUUUUGGGAUCAGAUUAGAAUUUCUUGAACCGGCAGACUUGGAGUGAAGCCGAUGGCUCUCCCUAAUGUGUGUGGGCCUCCAUCAAUCAGUUGAACGUCUGAAUAGAACAAAAGACUGACUUUCCCUGAGCAAGAAGGAAUUCUGGCGGCAGACAGCCUUUGGUCUCAACCUCAGGUCUUCCCUGGGUCUCCAGCCUAUCAGCCCACCCUGCUGAUGAUGGAUUUACCAAGUCUGCACAAUAGUAUGAGCCAAUUCUUGAAGAGAAAUUCUCUCUCUCUCCCUACAUAACUGUUGGUUCUGUUCCUCUGGAGAACACUGACUAAUACACCCUCUUCCUCCUUUCAGCUCAUUUGUGUGAUUUUCCAGCUUCUGUUCCAUCUGCACUUGAGGUGCCAGGCACUGUAGUUCCUGCCCAACAUCCAUUCUCCUUCCACCUGCCCAACACAGCCUGGCUUUCUUGGUGGGGGCACUGUGCCCAGCCCCUGGGGAUGAGUCAUGUUGAUUUAGGUCAGUAGUGUCAGUCCCAGUCUCCUUUGCCUGCACUCAAUGUCCAGUCUCCCUUGCAACCCAGUUCUGGCUGCUGGGGUGAGUCUGGGAAGUUAUGUGCUUUCCUGAUCAAGAGGGACAGAAGUGACUGGCAACACCCUUUCCUGUUCUUGUUUCCUUGAACAUGGACAUGAUAUCUGGAGGUGCAGCAGCCACAUCACAGCUGGGAGGCAACAGAUAUGAAAUGAAGGAUUAACACAGAAAGGAGAGUGGGAUGGAAAGCGGGGGAGAGACUGGGGAUGACAUUUCUGAACCCCUGCCCCAGCUCUGGGGCCCCAGCCACCAGACCUCUUGUCUUUAUGCCAUAAGCACUUUCUGUGUGUUUUCUGUUACAUACAACUGAAGGCAUUCUUGGUUGAUACAGGUAGUGUAUUUACUCUGCCUUUCAAUCAUGGAAAUGUCCUGGUUUUAGUCUAAGGAGGUGCAGGGGGAAUGGCUCAGCCAGUGAAGAACUUGAGUUGAUCCUCCCAAGCCUUCUAUUCUUUGAUAAUAGUAACGACCUGCCUUCUAUGAUAAAACCCCAGUGGAUUUUGCAAUGACAACAGCCAACUCCAGACUCCCCAAGUGGAGGAGCAAUGGCACCAUAGUUUGGGCUCAUGAAUGAAUAGUAGCCAGCGCCACUGGAGUGACUACCUUUUAGUGUCACAGACCCUGACAAAUGGACCCUGAUAGAGACAUCCUUGGAAUCUCUGGCAAUGGACUCCUCCCAGAAGGGAAAUACGAACUCUGAGGAUCUGCCUGCUGUUCAGAGGCUUGACCGAACUGCAGAGUAUAAUUGGUCUCUGCUUCUUUCUUUGACCAAAGAACUGGGGGUUUUGGAGAUUUUUGAGCUUAAAUUUCCAAGCACAAAUACUUUGCAGCAUCAAAUAUCUUACAUGUAGGGAGAAAUCUAGCACUAGUACAUUUGUGUAGAUACAAUGACAUGAGGGGUAGUGACCACAGGAAAAUGAUCAGCACUGGGGUAAGGCAAUUUAAAGAAACAAAAUGAGAAUUAUUAGAGACUGCUAUCAAACUUCAAAUCAGAAGGGAGGUAAAGAUGAAGCACUUGUUAGGCAGAUAAUAAGAUGACAAAGCCUCAAAAUACGGCACUCAUGGAUCUUAAUUACCAAGCUAUCUGCUGGGUGUUUAAUCAGUGGCACAUACACUAUGCUAAUUAUUCCGGCUAAUUUCGUUAUAAUGCAAUUCUUUAUCAACCCUGCUAUGUAAAAAUUAGGAAUUGAAAUGUAACUAACACAAAUUAUAUUUAAGGCAACAUGAAUUUCUUUAUUUCAGCAUGAAAUCUUCUAGUCUCUAUUUCUUUAUCUUUCUUUCUGUGAUUAUCUAAUGUCACCCCCUCCCCAACCCAGCCCCCCACAGCCUAAACCAUCAUUUGAGGAGAAAGGAACCCAGCACAAAUAUUUCCCCUUUUAACUUCUAGGAAAUCAUUCGUUUGACUUUCUCCUUCAGCGAUUGUCCUUGAAAGGUGUAGAAUAUAUUUAAGCAAUCAGUGACAGACGGAUCCUAGCUUUCUCUGCAUCAGAUAAAGGUCGCUUUAUUGUUCUAUUUUAAUUUUUAAAUAAUCAUUGGAGGGUGCCAUAAUUCAUGUAUUUUCAGUGAUGUAUGUAACUUACAUCAAGUUGUGUUUACAAAUGUGUUUAGAUGAGGGCUAAUAACACAUAUCUUGUAGAGAAGCAUAAAUAUUGUCUGGAAUUUUUAAUGUCAUGCAGCUCUGCAUCCAAAGAGGUCAGGACUGCCAGGCUUGUGAUUUUCUCCUCCAUCAAUACUUUUGGUUUUGAACAAAUUUGCAGCAAAAUAACAAAGCCUAAUAAAUCAGUUGAUAAAACCGGGGUCUAAUUUAGUCCCAGCACUAAGUCCGUUGCCAAGGGAGGGCCAUGGUCUGGAAGAAAUGAACAGUCGCAAGUCCACAGACCCCCCUGUGACCUCAGAGAAAGGGACAAGCACUGUGCCUGUCUAGACUCACUCAAACUGACCGAGACAUAGCCCUGUCUGUGGAUUCACCUCUGAGACUCAUUUCUUCUUUGGGCCUGAAAUGUCCCUGCUUUUCCCUGAUAGCGUGGAAAGCAGCUCCUUCAUCCCCUGGUCCCCUGGGUGCUGUUGGGUGCAUACUCGCCUCCAGAUCCAGCUGCUGGGCCCUCCCCACUCUGGGUCAGCUGGGGCUUUGCUCCCAGGACAGAGGCUUCCAUCAUCUCGCAUCAUCCUCUCUCCUGUCUUUGAUUCCCUCUGUCUUAUUUUUAUUUCUCCUAAUUCCCAGCUCCGGCGACAUAGACGUUUCUUCUUGUGGUCAGAAGCUUUUUAAUUUUGCUAAAGAUUAAUGCUUUUUUUUUUUUUUUUUUUUUUUUGACAGAAUCUCACUCUGUUGCCCAUGCUGGAGUGCAGUGGUACAAUCACUGCUCACUGCAGCCUCUACGUCCCGGGCUCAUUCUAAUCCUCCCACCUCAGCCUCCCAAGUAGCUGGGACUACAGGUGUGUGCCACCAUGCCAGGCUAAUUUUUAAAUUCUUUUUAGCAGAGAGAGGGUCUCACUAUGUUGCCCAGGCUGGUUUCAAACUCCUGGGCCCAAGCAAUCCUCACGCUUCAGCCUCCCAAAGUGCUGGGGUUACAGUUGUGAGCCACCAUGUCCAAAUUGAAUUCCUUUUCAAUGAGUCUUUUCUAGCUUUUCUGUCUUGACAGUUUUGACUGAGAUGUUUGUGUGAAUGUAUUUUCCAUUCUGUGCGGGGCCAGGCUCACCCAUCAAUCCACCAGGCUGCAGUAGCCACUUUGUAGUGCAAUCUUGGUACUUGAACUUGAGGCGGCUCUUUGUGCAACGAGAGAGCAGGAGCCACUUUCAUUUCCUGUGUGUCUUCAGAGGCUGGAAACAAUGCAAUGGGAUGUGGGCACAGACUAGAUGUGAUG